UACGAAGGGGGCUAGCGUUGCUCGGAAUCACUGGGCGUAAAGCGCACGUAGGCGGAUCUUUAAGUCAGGGGUGAAAUCCUGGAGCUCAACUCCAGAACUGCCUUUGAUACUGGGGAUCUCGAGUCCGGGAGAGGUGAGUGGAACUCCGAGUGUAGAGGUGAAAUUCGUAGAUAUUCGGAAGAACACCAGUGGCGAAGGCGGCUCACUGGCCCGGUACUGACGCUGAGGUGCGAAAGCGUGGGAGCAAACAGG
rnacentral:rRNA from 1 species